rnacentral:rRNA from 1 species
GAUGAACGCUGGCGGCGUGCCUAAUACAUGCAAGUCGAGCGAACAGACGAGGAGCUUGCUCCUCUGACGUUAGCGGCGGACGGGUGAGUAACACGUGGAUAACCUACCUAUAAGACAGGGAUAACUUCGGGAAACCGGAGCUAAUACCGGAUAAUAUAUUGAACCGCAUGGUUCAAUAGUGAAAGACGGUUUUGCUGUCACUUAUAGAUGGAUCCGCGCCGCAUUAGCUAGUUGGUAAGGUAACGGCUUACCAAGGCAACGAUGCGUAGCCGACCUGAGAGGGUGAUCGGCCACACUGGAACUGAGACACGGUCCAGACUCCUACGGGAGGCAGCAGUAGGGAAUCUUUCGCAAUGGGCGAAAGCCUGACGGAGCAACGCCGCGUGAGUGAUGAAGGUCUUCGGAUCGUAAAACUCUGUUAUUAGGGAAGAACAAAUGUGUAAGUAACUAUGCACGUCUUGACGGUAUCUAAUCAGAAAGCCACGGCUAACUACGUG